UUUUCCGGUAACCAUACCAAAUAGAAAUGAAGGAAUUGCACACCAGUCAGACGGUGAAAAUCCCUAAGGGAGUGUCUGCCAGUGUUAAGGCAAGGAAGGUAAUCAUCAAAGGACCUCGAGGAACUUUAACAAGAACCUUCCGUCACUUGGCUGUAGAUAUCACCAUGGUUGGCAAGAACACUGUCAUGGUAGAGAAAUGGUUUGGCAAACACAAGGAGCUGGCUGCUGUAAGGACUGUGUGCAGUCACAUAGAGAACAUGAUCAAGGGGGUUACCAAGGGCUUUCUGUACAAAAUGAGGUCAGUGUAUGCCCAUUUCCCCAUCAACUGUGCAGUACAAGAGGGUGGAGGUUCAGUGGAGAUUAGGAACUUUUUGGGAGAAAAAUUUGUCAGGAAGGUGGGCAUGUUGCCAGGGGUGUCCAUAAAGCCCUCUACACAGAAAGAUGAGUUCAUUUUGGAGGGCAAUGACAUAGAAGCUGUGUCUACAUCAGGUAUGUGUUAAAUCUCUUGGUGACUUUGCAAGUUUGUUUAGAUCAUGAAUCCCCAGGGUAGGGUGGGGCUAUAUUUUUUUUUUUGGGGGGGGGGGGGGAGGGGGGGGGUACAAAUAAAAAAAAAAAAAGUAAAUAGAGAAUAGAUUUAAAAUUCUUCAGCUUAAAAACCAUUUGUCUAAAAAAUGCUGAAACCUGUGUGGAAGCAUCCUCGGGUGUAAAUUCAAGUUUGUUCAAAUCACUGAUCUCCAGGGGUAGUGUGGGGCAACUGUUCAGGGUUGAAUUUUGACAUAGAAACUAGUAAAGAAAAAUCUCUUUUAAAAAAAACUGAAACGACGAAAGGGGCUCAAUGUUCAAAUAUACGAAUAUGUGGAGAAAAUUUUGAAAAAUAUUCAUGUCUUCUUCUAAAAAGGAAGGGCAUAUUGUUUUGCUGCUGUCCGUCUGUCUAUUUGUCAGAUGGUCAGUCCACCAACAGUAUCAGUUCGUUUUCUUUGCAGAAGUUGCGCUUAAUUUGAAAUGAAAUUUAUCUUAAUAUUAAUACCUAGGUUAAGUUCAAUUUUUGGUAUGAUCGAGCAUUUUUGAUAGUUUUGCCCCUUAACUUACAAAUUCCAAUUAAUUGCAGUUUCUUCACGGGUUGCACAUGCUUAUUUUCUUCAUACAUAUUUUCUUCUUGGAUAUCUUCAAGGGAGGCGGGCAUUUUUGCCAAAGAUGUUGUGAAGAUUUGUGCAGCCUAUAAUUCUAAAACAUUUUAGUGUAGGCAUGUCAUACUAGCAUAUAUAUUAUGGAAUUUAGGCAUGUCAUAUACUAGUUUGAUGCUCAGAGAGAAAGAAUAAUCUUGGCGUUAAUUAAACUGGGUCCACAGGACAUCUGUCAUUUUAACGAUAGAACAUUCUAUGUACAUCUUAUUCUCAUUUGAGAAGUGGACAGGCAUAGCCUACAUCCUCUUCUCUUCGCAAGCCUCCAUAUUUUGAUUCUAAAAAACAUGUAAUAAAGUUGGAACGAAAGAUGGUUUAUGCUUCGAACUAUGUUUUGACUCUAGUUGCCCUGAAUUAUCAUAACAGAUCUACAUCUCAGAUAGUAAAUGACCCCUAUUGAUUUGAAGUUCAAAAGAUUUAUUUCAUUUACAUGUAUUUACUGCCCUUUAAUGUAUGUCCAAGGGAGGUGGCUUAAAUGUUUCACAAACAUCUCUUGUUUAUAAUUUUAAUUGAACAGUGGCAUGUACAACCAAGUGUAUGGAAAUUCUUUCAGCAAAGUUGUUGCUUUUAGACAUAUUGGUUACCUUCUACUACUGCUCGCACACAUUUAUAAGAAAACGGAAAGGGUAAAAAAAAUUACGGUAUAUAUAAUUUCCUGAGAACUGCAAAUCAGAUGAGCGAUGUUGCUCUUGUGCAUUUUAAUUCCUAAUCUCUGAUUUAGAUAUUUUGAAAAUGAUGAAGGAAUUUAUUACAGGAAUAAAUAAGUGAUCACUUUCGACUCAUAUUCCACUGUUCAACUGUAUUAAUUUUGGCAGUGUACACAAAGUGCAGACUGUAUUACCACAGAUUGCACAAUGUUAUUGAACACACCCAUUUCAGGCCAUAUGCCAAUUAUUGUAUUGAACUAUUGAGCUUUGGAUUUGUGUGGUUUAUCAAGGACAAGGACACAAAAAUGUAAGGGUAUAAAUUUGUGAAUGAGAGCAAUAGACUUAUAAUGUUCACUGAAAUCUCAGUUGUGUGUAUAUUAACGUAAUCUUUAUAUUUCAGCUGCUUUGAUCCAGCAGUCCACAACAGUGAAAAACAAGGAUAUCCGAAAAUUCUUGGAUGGUAUUUAUGUGUCAGAGAAGACCACAGUUGUACCCUCUGAUUAAAAGAACAGCAUAGAAAAUAAAAUAAAAUAAAACC
rnacentral:misc_RNA from 1 species